GGUUCUCUGUUUGUACAAAUAUAGGGAAUCGAGCCUGCCCAGUGAAUUUUUAAACGGCCGCGGUACUCUGACCGUGCAAAGGUAGCAUAAUCAUUUGCCUUAUAAUUGAAGGCUAGUAUGAAUGGUUUAACGAGAGCAACACUGUCUCCUUUUUAUUUUCAAGAACUUAACUUUUAGGUGAAGAGGCCUAAAUUCUAUUGAAGGACAAGAAGACCCUAUCGAGCUUAAAAGACAUUAUAGAGGUUUAUAUAUUUCUAAAUAAAUUUUCUAUUAAGCUUUUUAGUUGGGGCGACUAAGGAACAAAAAAAGCUUCUUGCUAAUAAUAAACAGUCAUGUUUAGAUCCGAUAAUAAUCGAUCAAAGAAAUUAGUUACCGUAGGGAUAACAGCAUAAUCUCUCUUGAGAGAUCUAAUCGAAAGAGGGGGUUGUGACCUCGAUGUUGGACUAGAAUAUCCUAAAGAUGCAGAAGUCUUUGAGGGUCGGUCUGUUCGACCGUUAAAAUUCU
rnacentral:rRNA from 1 species